rnacentral:rRNA from 1 species
CCUACGGGAGGCAGCAGUGAGGAAUAUUGGUCAAUGGCCGGAAGGCUGAACCAGCCAAGCCGCGUGAAGGACGAAGGUGCCAAGCAUUGUAAACUUCUUUUGUCAAGGGACAAAAUCAGGCUCGAGAGCCUGACCGAGGGUACUUGAAGAAAAAGCAUCGGCUAACUCCGGGCCAGCAGCCGAGGUAAUACGGAGGAUGCGAGCGUUAUCCGGGUUUAUUGGGGUUAAAGGGGUGGUAGGCGGGCUGUUAAGUCAGCGGGAAAAGCCCGGGGCUCAACCCCGGGACUGCUCUUGGAACUGCGUGGCUGGAGUGCAGGAGGGGCAGGCGGAAUUCCUGGUGUAGCGGUGAAAUGCGUAGAUAUCAGGAAGAACACCGGUGGCGAAGGCGGCCUGCUGGACUGCAACUGACGUUGAGGCCCGAAAGCGUGGGGAGCAAACAGGAUUAGAUACCCGUGUAGUC